GCGCUCGUUUCAGCAGCACAUAUACUAAAAUUGGAACGACACAGAGAAAAUGAGCACGGCCUAUGUGCAAGAAAAUCAUAAAUAAAAAUAAGAUACAAUGUGUC
rnacentral:snRNA from 1 species